rnacentral:rRNA from 1 species
UACGUAGGGUGCGAGCGUUAAUCGGAAUUACUGGGCGUAAAGCGUGCGCAGGCGGUUUUGUAAGCCAGAUGUGAAAUCCCCGGGCUUAACCUGGGAAUGGCAUUUGGGACUGCAAGGCUGGAGUGUGGCAGAGGAGACUGGAAUUCCUGGUGUAGCAGUGAAAUGCGUAGAUAUCAGGAGGAAUACCGAUGGCGAAGGCAGGUCUCUGGGCUAACACUGACGCUCAUGCACGAAAGCCGGGGGAGCAAACAGG